rnacentral:rRNA from 1 species
GAUGAACGCUAGCUACAGGCUUAACACAUGCAAGUCGAGGGGAAACGAUAUUGGAAGCUUGCUUUUUCUAGGCGUCGACCGGCGCACGGGUGAGUAACGCGUAUCCAACCUGCCCAUCACUUGGGGAUAACCUUGCGAAAGUAAGACUAAUACCCAAUGACGUCUCUAGAAGACAUCUGAAAGAGAUUAAAGAUUUAUCGGUGAUGGAUGGGGAUGCGUCUGAUUAGCUUGUUGGCGGGGUAACGGCCCACCAAGGCGACGAUCAGUAGGGGUUCUGAGAGGAAGGUCCCCCACAUUGGAACUGAGACACGGUCCAAACUCCUACGGGAGGCAGCAGUGAGGAAUAUUGGUCAAUGGACGAGAGUCUGAACCAGCCAAGUAGCGUGCAGGAUGACGGCCCUAUGGGUUGUAAACUGCUUUUAUAAGGGAAUAAAGUGGGAGUCGUGACUCUUUUUGCAUGUACCUUAUGAAUAAGGACCGGCUAAUUCCGUGCCAGCAGCCG